rnacentral:lncRNA from 1 species
AAACUGACCUGACUAAGGUUAGGGCAGGUGGGAGGAGUGGAGCUAAGAGUAAUAAUAAGGGCGAAUUUUCCAGGUGGGAGGUAGAGCGCCCAGCAACUGUGCCAAGAAGACAAGUUGAAAAUGAACAACUGUGUGGGUGGUUUUUAUCUGAGGAUUUAAGGAAAGCCAGGCAGGGGCUGGUAGCUUGUCCUCCAUUCCUGGAGCAAAGAGGUCACUAAUGAGAGUCCAAAGAGAAUCACAGCAGCAGCCAUCGAAACUCCUCUUGAACAGACCGAGGAACAUCCCUGAUCUCAGCAGGGAGCUGAGGCAGGAGGAUCAUGAGUCACAGAUUUGGGCUCCCUGAUGCCAUCACCCCAGUCUCUGCCUAUGUCAUCACGUGGCCUUCUCCCCGGGUCGGAGGACCACAGACACUGGUGGGAAGCUUGAUCCAGGAUCUUCCAUUUCUAUUUGAUCCCAUUGGCAAGGCCCAAUUUCCAAGGGACCAUCCCUCAUCCCUCCCAUGAGGAAGAGAUUCUCGGCCACUCCAGAGUCUUCCUCUAGAGGGCGCUCAGCCACCCUGGAAGUGCUCAGCUCCUUGAGGGGCACAGCCUCACCCAGACAUCAAGCACUCACGCCUGCUACCGGACGGCAGGGAUGGAGGCUCUAGGUCCAACUUUUGUGGUUGACAGAGGAAUAAACGAAGACUCAAAGACAGACAGCGG